UUGUUCGAUUCUGCACGAUUUUGUCGUCUUUGCAUUGAUUCAUUGGGCGGGGGUUCGGAUCCAGGGGAUCUCCUUGGAAUCAGUGAGGAGUUAAUUAUUGAUGCUGGAGGAUAGGAAAUCCAGUUCAGACUGGCUGUUCGAAUCGGAAUUUCAUUAUUUUCAUAACUCAGCCUCAGGGAAAGAAAAGAUUGGAUAGAAGUUGAAGAGUGAUUUGUUGUUAAAGAAAUUGAGCCUGGUUUUUUGUGCAGAGAGAAAGGAAAACUAGGAAUAUGGAGGGACAUGCGCAAAAGCUGCCACUGGCGAACAUCUUCGGUCGCCGAGCAGACAAAGAUGCAAGUUUCAUUGAUUCUCAAAUAUAAUAUAUUCAGGUUCUGUGUCUCAUGGAUCAAUGUUCUAUUUUUCACAUAUUUGAAUGCAUUUUUGUUUUAUAUG